rnacentral:rRNA from 1 species
CCUACGGGUGGCAGCAGUGAGGAAUAUUGCGCAAUGGGGGCAACCCUGACGCAGCGACGCCGCGUGAGUGAGGAAGGUCUUCGGAUCGUAAAGCUCUGUCAAGAGGGAAGAAGUGCAAGGCAGCGAAUAACUGUUUUGUUUGACGGUACCUCUAAAGGAAGCACCGGCUAACUCCGUGCCAGCAGCCGCGGUAAUACGGAGGGUGCGAGCGUUGUUCGGAAUCACUGGGCGUAAAGGGCGCGCAGGCGGGCUGUCAAGUCAGAUGUGAAAUCCCACGGCUUAACUGUGGACGUGCAUUUGAAACUGGCAGUCUUGAGUACCAGAGGGGAAUGUGGAAUUCCCGGUGUAGAGGUGAAAUUCGUAGAUAUCGGGAGGAAUACCGGUGGCGAAGGCGACAUUCUGGCUGGAUACUGACGCUGAGGCGCGAAAGCGUGGGGAGCAAACAGGAUUAGAUACCCCAGUAGUC